rfam:Gossypium hirsutum cultivar TM-1 chromosome 11, whole genome shotgun sequence
AAUCUAUGCAUUGGACAUUUCCGAAGUAAUUCCUUAAAUCUUUCCCAAGCUUCAUAUAAUCUUUCAUCUUCUUUUUCCUAAAAAGUUGUGAUAUCAUUUCUCAAUUC